UUUUUUCUUCCUUCCUUCCCUCCUCCCCUCUCUUCUCCUUCAACCCUCGUUCCGCCGGAGCCCUGCUGGGGCGAGCGGUUGGCAUUGCAGGCGCUUAGUCUCCAGGGCCGCCCGGCGGGUAGCUGGUGGGGGGUGGUGGUGGGGAGGCAGGAACCAUGAUGGCGCCUCAGAAGCACAGCGGUUGGGGAGGGGGCAGCUCAGGGCCCAGCCAGGGGAGGCAGUUUCGGGGGGUUCGGCGGCGGUGGUGGCUGCGACCGCUUCGGGGGGCAAAUUCGGCGGAGGGGUCUGUGGAGGCGGUGACAGUUAUUCGGCCUCCUCUUCCUCCGCGGUGUUACAAGUGAAGAAGCCGAAAAUGGAGCACGUCCAGGCUGACCACGAGCUUUUCCUCCAGGCCUUUGAGAAGCCAACACAGAUCUAUAUAUUUCUUCGAACUCGGAAUCUCAUAGCACCAAUAUUUUUGCACAGAAUUCUUACAUGUUUCAUCGAAACUCCAGAACAAACAUCAAAAGGAAAACAUUUAAAGUUGAUAUGUUAUCAAAAGUAGAGAAAAUGAAAGGAGAGCAAGAAUCUCAUAGCUUGUCAGCUCAUUUGCAGCUUACAUUUUACUGGCUUCUUCCACAAAAAUGAUAAGCCAUCACAAAACUCAGAAAAUGAACAAAAUUCUGUUACCCUGGAAGUCCUGCUUGUGAAAGUUUGCCACAAAAAAAGAAAGGAUGUAAGUUGUCCAAUAAGGCAAGUUCCCACAGGUAAAAAGCAGGUGCCUUUGAAUCCUGACCUCAAUCAAACAAAACCUGGAAAUUUCCCGUCCCUUGCAGUUUCCAGUAAUGAAUUUGAACCUAGUAACAGCCAUAUGGUGAAGUCUUACUCAUUGCUAUUCAGAGUGACUAGUCCAGGAAGAAGAGAAUUUAAUGGAAUGAUUAAUGGAGAAACCAAUGAAAAUACUGAUGUCAAUGAAGAGCUUCCGGCCAGAAGAAAACGAAAUCGUGAGGAUGGGGAAAAGACAUUUGUUGCACAAAUGCCAGUAUUUAAUAAAAACAGACGCUUAUGGCUUUUAAAUGGGGAAUAUGAAGUAGCCAUGCAGGAAAUGGAAGAAUGUCCAAUAAGCAAGAAAAGAGCAACAUGGGAGACUAUUCUUGAUGGGAAGACGCUGCCUCCAUUUGAAACAUUUUCUCAGGGACCUUCAUUGGACAGGAGAGACAAAUGAUAAAUCUACAGCUCCUAUUGCCAAACCUCUUGCCACUAGAAAUUCAGAGUCUCCAUCAGGAAAACAAGCCUGGUUCAGUUAAACCUACUUAACCUAUUGCUAUUAAAGAAUCAUUGACUACAGAUCUAUGAAUAAGAAAAGGAUACUCCAAAUGAAAACCGACAAAAAUUAAGAAUAUUUUAUCAGUUUCUUUCUAACAACAAUACUAGACAACAAACUGAAGCAAGAGAUGACCUACAUUGCCCUUGGUGCACUCUGAACUGCCGCAAACUUUAUAGUUUACCCAAGCAUCUUAAAUUCUGCCAUAGCAGAUUUAUCUUCAAUUAUGUUUAUCAUCCAAAAGGUGCUAGGAUAGGUGUUUCUAUCAAUGAGUGUUAUGAUGGCUCCUAUGCAGAAAAUCCUCAGGACAUUCAUUGCCAACCUGGAUUUGCUUUUAGUUGCAAUGGACCAGUUAAGAGAACACCUAUCACACACAUUCUUGUGUGCAGGCCAAAACGAACAAAAGCAAGCAUGUCUGAAUUUCUUGAAUCUGAAGAUGGAGAAGUAGAACAGCAAAGAACACACAGUAGUGGCCACAAUCGUCUGUAUUUCUAUAGUGAUACCUGCUUACCUCUCCGUCCACAAGAAAUGGAAGUAGAUAGUGAAGAUGAAAAAGAUCCUGAAUGGCUAAGAGAAAAAAAACAUUACAGAAAUUGAAGAAUUUUCUGAUGUUAACGAAGGAGAGAAAGAAGUGAUGAAACUCUGGAAUCUCCAUGUCAUGAAGCAUGGGUUUACUGCUGACAAUCAAACGAAUCAGGCCUGUAUACUGUUUGUGGAAAAGUAUGGACAGAAAAUAAUUAAGAAUAAUUUAUGUUGAAACUUCAUGCUUCAUCUAGUCAGCAUGCAUGACUUUACUCUUAUUAGCAUAAUGUCAAUACAUAAAGCUGUUACCAAGCUCCGUGAAAUGCAGCAAAAAUUAGAAAAGGGCGAGUCUGCUUCCCCUGCAAACGAAGAAAUAACUGAAGAACAAAAUGGGACAGCAAAUGGAUUUAGUGAAAUUAAUUCAAAAGAGAAAGCUUUGGAAACAGAUAGUGUCUCAGGG